UCCACUUAUGCAUAUUAUCCUAAACAUGAGCAACUCAUAAACCAUACACAUGUGAACAACAAACCAACAAGAGGUGUUCUCCUGCAAAUACCUCCAAUUCGACAGUGUAACAAAUUCCAAGUCCAACCUUAAGAUGAAAUGUAAUAUGAAGGAUACGAACGAACACAACAAACCAUAGAUACAUUAAAUUACUACAAAAAUUACUAAAAAACAUAGCUAACAUUCCAUAGGAGGAGGCUAAUAUUCAUUUUGAAAUCUCCAAUCAAUUACAAAAGCUCCAAACUUGCAUCUCAUAUAUUCAGAGAAUCCAAGAAGUACCUAGAUGCAGGAAUCAAAGCAAAAAAAAUAUGAGGAGAUCUGUAGCAAUAGAAUAGUGCCAAGUAGCAACUCAACAACAGCAAACCCAACUUCCUUGAACCAUUUUCGAACCCCAGAUGAAUCAGAGAUUCCUUCAAAACAUGAAGACCCCAAGAAUUACAGGAAAAAUUUCAAUGUAACAGUAAUUUUACGAUAUGUCUUUUUCUUCUGAUUAUUCAAACCCUUUCAGUAUUUUUCAACUGUUUCCAAUUUUCUCAAAUCUGAUCCCCCUUGAAAUUUUAGGCAAUAGGACCUUUAUAGAGGGGUUUUAGGGCAGCAGUAAUGAUUUUGCUAAUUAUCAUUUACCCCUUCCCCAAGUCCCUUUUGUUCAUUUUAAACCCUGAUUUAAAACCUAUUUUUUUUAAGUCAGUCCCUUCCCCAAUUUCCUGGAAGCUUCCCUAGGCAGUUACAAAAGAUUCCCUCUACAAAAAUACCUUAAGUACCUUUUUAAGUUCUGUUAUUUACCCUCCAAGACAGUCACAUGAGUCAGAUUAACCCAAGCCCAUGGGUCUGUAUACUAACAGCCCAAACCUGCAAUUUCAAACCAACACUCAAUGGGUAUUGAAGCUCACAUGACCCAAACUGCUAAAAACAAACGAUAAAAAAACAGGAAAGGGAACUAAACAAAUUGCGGAGGACACAACAAUUUAAACCAAGAGAACACUUAACCAAUUUUAGCAGUAUUUCGAAUCCUAUAAGCCAAACCGGAUGAAACCAAACAGAAGAAUCAAGCUAUGAAAUAAACAGUGAACAAAAUGGCUUAGAAGCAGUUAACCUCAACUAUAUUCUCAAAAUGAAUUCAACGAAGAUGCAAUUAAAUGGGAAGAGAAGAAAUAGAGAUAAAAUAAAAAAUAAAAGAAAAGAAAAAAACCUACUGUGAUUAUGAGAGACAACUGAGUGGCCUAGUAACGGGCAUCUUUUAACAAACUUGGUGAUCUAGGUCUCGCAUGGGGCCGACGGGCUUUGAAAUGAGACGAAAUCCAUGCUAAUCGCUCGUUCUCAAGGAGAAUAGUCGACUGGCAUAAGCUUCGACUUAUUAAUGGCCCAAAAAAGCUGCUUCAACUCUGAAAGGGAGCAAGGUUAAGUUUCCGAGUUUCGAUGCCAGAUUUGGGAUUUGGAGGCAAGGGUGGGGACUUUGGGAAAAUUUGUAUCAGAUUUGUAUUCUAUGGGGUGUGGGGAUUAUGGAGGAUGAAUUUGGGGUUAAAUGGGUGGCGUCGCCGAUCGGAAAUGGCGAAGAGAUUGAGGCCGGCCCUAGGGUUUGCUGAGGAGGGUGAGAGACAAAAAGGAGUUAGAACUAGGCUGUCUCUGAGAAUGCUUGGAUAGUCUUAAACGAAAAUGGAGAAGUGUUU
rnacentral:lncRNA from 1 species